CCUACGGGAGGCAGCAGUGAGGAAUAUUGGUCAAUGGGCGCAAGCCUGAACCAGCCAUGUCGCGUGCAGGAAGACUGCCCUAUGGGUUGUAAACUGCUUUUAUAGUAGAAGAAACACAUCUACGUGUAGAUGUCUGCCAGUAUACUAUGAAUAAGCAUCGGCUAACUCCGUGCCAGCAGCCGCGGUAAUACGUAGGGGGCGAGCGUUGUCCGGAAUUACUGGGCGUAAAGGGCGUGUAGGCGGCCGAGCAAGUCAAGUGUGAAAAGCCCCGGCUUAACCGAGGCAUUGCACAUGAAACUGCAUGGCUUGAGUGCAGGAGAGGGAAGUGGAAUUCCUAGUGUAGCGGUGAAAUGCGUAGAUAUUAGGAGGAACACCAGUGGCGAAGGCGACUUCCUGGACUGUAACUGACGCUGAGGCGCGAAAGCGUGGGUAGCAAACAGGAUUAGAUACCCUGGUAGUCCACGCCGUAAACGAUGGGUACUAGGUGUGGGUAGUUCACACUAUCCGUGCCGCAGCAAACGCAAUAAGUACCCCGCCUGGGGAGUACGGCCGCAAGGUUGAAACUCAAAUGAAUUGACGG
rnacentral:rRNA from 1 species